AGUGAACGCUGGCGGUAGGCCUAACACAUGCAAGUCGAACGGCAGCACAGGAGAGCUUGCUCUCUGGGUGGCGAGUGGCGGACGGGUGAGGAAUACAUCGGAAUCUACUCUGUCGUGGGGGAUAACGUAGGGAAACUUACGCUAAUACCGCAUACGACCUACGGGUGAAAGCAGGGGACCUUCUGGCCUUGCGCGAUUGAAUGAGCCGAUGUCGGAUUAGCUAGUUGGCGGGGUAAAGGCCCACCAAGGCGACGAUCCGGAGCUGGUCUGAGAGGAUGAUCAGCCACACUGGAACUGAGACACGGUCCAGACUCCUACGGGAGUCAGCAGUGGGGAAUAUUGGACAAUGGGCGCAAGCCUGAUCCAGCCAUACCGCGUGGGUGAAGAAGGCAUUCGGGUUGUAAAGCCCUUUUGUUGGGAAAGAAAUCCAGCUGGCUAAUACCCGGUUGGGAUGACGGUACCCAAAGAAUAAGCACCGGCUAACUUCGUGCCAGCCGCCGCCGUAA
rnacentral:rRNA from 1 species